rnacentral:rRNA from 1 species
GACGAACGCUGGCGGCGUGCUUAACACAUGCAAGUCGAACGGAAAGGCCCUGCUUUUGUGGGGUGCUCGAGUGGCGAACGGGUGAGUAACACGUGAGUAACCUGCCCUUGACUUUGGGAUAACUUCAGGCAACUGGGGCUAAUACCGGAUAGGAGCUCCUGCUGCAUUGGGGGGGUUGGAAAGUUUCGGCGGUUGGGGAUGGACUCGCGGCUUAUCAGCUUGUUGGUGGGGUAGUGGCUUACCAAGGCUUUGACGGGUAGCCGGCCUGAGAGGGUGACCUGCCACAGUGGGACUGAGAUACGGCCCAGCCUCGUACGGGAGGCAGCAGUGGGGAAUAUUGCACAAGGGGCGGAAGCCUGAUGCAGCAACGCCGCGUGCGGGAUGACGUCCUUCGGGUUGUAAACCGCUUUCGCCUGUGACGAAGCGUGAGUGACGGUAAUGGGUAAAGAAGCACCGGCUAACUACGUG